AUGCCGUCUUUGAACUUGGUGGAGACGCAGAAGCAGAAGGAGAACGGUGGCGCCGUGAAGACCUUGACGACUGCUGCCAUGACCACAACUAUGAUGAUUGUGUUGGUAAUAAAGAUACCAAUUAUAUACAAAUCCCCCAGCUUCGAAAACAUUAGAUUAUCCAACUUAUUAUUCAAAUUCUUGAUUCAAGAUAAAUGGAAAUUUCCUAUAUACAAUGAGCUUAUUAUUUAUUUUUUAGAAAAGGAGGAUGACCUCCGGCCUCUGCAUCUGGGAGAUGUAUACGGCCACUUUAUUGAUUAUUCUCGAGGACCUUACAAAGUAUUACAACAAUAUGUCUGA
rnacentral:rRNA from 1 species